rnacentral:rRNA from 1 species
UACGUAGGGGGCAAGCGUUGUCCGGAUUUAUUGGGCGUAAAGAGCGUGUAGGCGGCCAAACAGGUCAGCUGUGAAAACUCGAGGCUCAACCUCGAGACGUCGGUUGAAACCGUUUGGCUAGAGUCCGGAAGAGGAGAGUGGAAUUCCCGGUGUAGCGGUGAAAUGCGCAGAUAUCGGGAAGAACACCCGUGGCGAAGGCGGCUCUCUGGGACGGUACUGACGCUGAGACGGCGAAAGCGUGGGGAGCGGAACAGG